rnacentral:rRNA from 1 species
GAUGAACGCUGGCGGCGUGCUUAACACAUGCAAGUCGAACGGAAAGGCCUCUGCUUGCAGGGGUACUCGAGUGGCGAACGGGUGAGUAACACGUGGGUGAUCUGCCCUGCACUUCGGGAUAAGCCUGGGAAACUGGGUCUAAUACCGGAUAGGACAAUGGUUUGGAUGCUGUUGUGGAAAGUUUUUCGGUGUGGGAUGAGCUCGCGGCCUAUCAGCUUGUUGGUGGGGUAAUGGCCUACCAAGGCGUCGACGGGUAGCCGGCCUGAGAGGGUGUACGGCCACAUUGGGACUGAGAUACGGCCCAGACUCCUACGGGAGGCAGCAGUGGGGAAUAUUGCACAAUGGGCGCAAGCCUGAUGCAGCGACGCCGCGUGGGGGAUGACGGCCUUCGGGUUGUAAACUCCUUUCGCUAGGGACGAAGCGUUUUUGUGACGGUACCUGGAGAAGAAGCACCGGCCAACUACGUG